rnacentral:rRNA from 1 species
CCUGGUGGUUAUAGAACCGGGGCUACACCCGUUCCCAUUCCGAAUACGGAAGUUAAGUCCGGUAUCGCCGAUGGUACUGCCCUGGAGACGGGGUGGGAGAGUAGGACGCUGCCAGGU